ensembl:snRNA U4 U4 spliceosomal RNA
GGCUUUGCACAGUGGUGGUAUCAUAGCCAACGAGCUUUAUCCAAGGUGUGAUUAUUGCUACUUGAAAACCUGGUGCCUCCGCAUCCUCAUUGUUACAAAAAUAACGAUCAUAAUACUCUCCUUCACAAGG